GCUUGUUUGAUCUGCUGUCUGCCUGAUAUUGCUUUGUGUUCUGAGAGGCGUUCGCUGCACUCACUUGAUGACUGUGUGUACAGCAGGCAUCGGAUCAGACUUUUAACCUGGGGGAGAGAAGCAAAGCAGAAUUCUGUGCUUUCCAUAAGAGAAGCAAAAACUAUGGAAUGGGAAAGUGGAAAACAAAUGCAUAGAGACAGAAUGUAAAUACACUCAAUCUUUUAAAAUCAAUUUGUUGUCUCUUUGGCUACAAAACUUCUCGUCCAGACAAACCUGCAGGCUUUUAUACCGACCAUCUCUCCAUCAGCAGCAGUGAAGACCUCUAAGCAGGCACGGAUUGAUGUGGAAGACCCUGACUUUCCACACCUGUGAGCCUUUUACCAGCUACGCUUUCAGCUGCAGCAGCUUCCAGAACGAAAAUACCAGGUUACUGCCAACUCUGGCUAGCUGUCAUUCCCAUCUGCCUUCCUGAAGCCAGUGGGAAGCACAGCUGAUGUCUGCCAUGGAAUCGCUUCCAGCUGGGAACUGUGCUGGAUCCUGGGCCCAGCAGUGCUGGGAGGAUGUGCCAGAACAUCAGCCUAUAACACUGAGAUACCAGGCAGCUCUGGGUUAUUCGCAGUGACUGAUAAGGCGAAGGCUCUUCCCAUUCCUGCUCUUUAAAGGCAGAUGGACCUGUUUACUGCUGUUGUGAAUGGCUGGAUAAGAGCUUGUUUUGAAUUGGAGGUAAAGAAGCAAAACCAAUUUCUGUUCCCGGUGCUUACCCAUUGCAACUCCUGAGUUCAUUUUCCUGUUUUCCCAAAAUAUAAAACAAAGGUUCUCUCAAUAAUUUCAGCUCUUCAUAGGCAGUUGUUGCUUCAAACAUAUCCUCAAUUCAAAAUGUUGGUAUUGAUAAGCAAAACAGAGUACAAAACAUACAGAACUGCAGUAUAGGUCAAAUACAACAUUAACCAAAGUAUUCUCACACAGCUUCCUUGGCUUUUCUUUCACCCAAGAAAUGGAGAUGAUUCACCAGAAUCAAAGCAAUGAAUACCUUAUGGAGGAUGUGUGUUAGGAAAUAGAUAAACCACACUAACUGGUUAACGCACUGAGACCUUGUUUACUUCUAGUCUGAACUCCAGCAUCUCCCCAAGGACUAAAUGAACAUAAAAACUGACUUUGUAGCACUCAUUCCGAGGUCAUAAUGACAGAAGGAGUGUGUGAGUUGGAAUUUCCCAUUACCAAUACAGACAGAGAAAAGUAACUAUUCAUUAAGAAUUAGUAUUUCCAGUGCUCUGGAAGCAUUUCUUUUCCGCUUUGGUUUGCCUUCUCGUGAAUAAGCCUUACAUAUUGCUGAAGGAGAGGCUCUGAUUUAUGUCAAAUACAAGUUUAUCCAUAGCAAGGGCUGUAUGUCAAAGCCGUUUUAACAAUAAAACAAUAUUGACAAAAGCAGGCUGCUCUGGGAGUUGGGACUGCCCAGGUCUGGCCAGUUGAGCUGACUAUUUGAAAAGGCUGCCUGCCUUCUCCCUCACCCCACUGAUAACAUCAGCUAACAAAUACAAUGAGAUCUUGGUUUCAAAGCCAUAAUCACUGGCUGGUGCUAAAAUAUUUUGUUUCUUUUAAGUACUGGUCUUAAAGACCAGGAUAUUAGCUACUUUCAUUUACAAGGAAGCUUGAAAGGAUGCCAGCACAAUAUCUGACCGGGCUUUCAGGAUGCAACUGCAUCUGCAUCCUUGCUCUGGCCAUGGACAGGAUGUAGUGUGAUUGAAAUUAAAACCUCAGAACACAGAACCCAUAUCCAUCACCACAGGAACAAAAAGCCAGCAAGUCGAUGGUUCUUUUUGUAAGAAAUCAUCCUUUUGUUUACCGUAUCUGUUAAAUUAUUUAGGAAACCUCUGUAUAAUUUAUUUCUUUCAACAAGAUACCUCCAUGUCUUGACAUCGUUAUCUUUCUCAAAUCAACCUGUUCUCAAAGCUAAAAUGUGAGCACAAGUAGCUUUAAGUGGGAGAAUGAGGAUUUACUGUAACUUUAUUAAAGAAAGCUUUUGAUAGCAUUGAAAAGUUAAUUGCGUAGCAGCAGCAAUCUCUCAGCUGCUCCUCUUCCAAAGGAGCAUUUCCAGAUCCUGAACACUAUUAGUGUACAUUACUUUUUAAAAUCUGGAACUCUCAGGACCUCAGAGUCCUUUGUGAUGGACAACAGAGUGAAGAAACUUCCCCAAUAGCUGGCAUUAAUGUUCAAGCAUUGGAUCACGCUGCUCACUGAUCCUGUCCCACUCCCCAACUCAGUUGAAUGCAGUUUCUCUCCUUCCCUGAUUUCAUCACAGAGAACCACACAUUGAGUUGAAUGCAUUCCACAUUACCUCCUGCUAAAGAUGGCAAUGCAUUCUGCAUGGUGAGACUGGUUCAACCCAGGGCCAACAAGCAGAGCAGUUUCCAACUCAGCCUCAGCUUACCUAGGAUGAAAACAAAUCCCCACUGAACUACAGGGCAGCAGCAACAGUCACAAGGAACUACAGCCACAGAUCAGUGAAGUUGCACACACUGACUCCAAAAAAGUUAAUUAAGCCAUGCAGCAAUUUACAGUUAAAUACACACAAUUUUAAAGCUGUGCUUUCUUUGUCGGAGAACUUUAAACCUCCCAUUCUCAUUGGUUACUGAUAUUUGCUCAUUACAUGCAAAGCUUGGACAAAUUAUGGAAUAACAGAAUGGACUCAUUCAAGAGAACGGUUUUGAGCCCUAAAUUUGCACCUCUCUCUUCUCAAGCUGCCACCAAAACUUCCUUGCUCUGAACUGCAGCUUCCCCUCUGCUGUGAGCACAGCUAAAGGAAGGAAGGGAAGGCAGCAGCCUUCUCUGGUGAUGGGUUGCUCCAGCCAGCCAUUGAAAAUCCUGUAAGGCACAGGUUACACAGCAUCCCUCUCCCACUCGCUGGCACUCUCAGACCUCUCAUUUAUGAAGUUAAUUUAGUGAGGUUAAACGAUGCAGUGCAUUCGACUGCAUUUUCUCACCUCCAGUUCCAGCCCUGUCAGGCGUUCCAGGUAAGAAAAGAAACACUUUGCCACCUUGUUUUCAUACCCGCUACAAAAGAGAUUGCAUUACCCUCCCUCCCCCCUCCAAACCCCAAUUACUGGGCUGUGGAAAGAACUCCAAUUAAGCGGUUAGCCAUAAUAGCAUGGCAGCCCUUUAGGAAACUGCUUAUCUAAAUAGAGAUGUACAGAAGGCAGUUUUCUCUCUAAUAGUGAUGCAUUUUCAAUUUAUGCAAUACAAAGUGCAUUGGUCUGCAGUGUCCCUGGCUACUGAUGAUUAAUAGCCCAUACACUGCAAGGGUCUACAAAGAAAAGUGCCAAGGGAAGCAGAUGCAGCGGGUUUUAUAUUAUCAUGACUGCAACAAACUCAUUCAGUGGUGUCAGCUCUGACUGCAGGAUUCUGAUUAUGAAAUAUGAUGCGUGUUGAAUUUAAUGGCUUUCUCUGCCCUUCUGGUGAGUUCACUGCUUUCCAAUGUCAUUUUGUGUUCUCAUCUGAGUGGUAAUAAAAGGAAUAUCAUUGACUGUGCUAGCUCUGUAACCACUGUGUGUUUUACAAUAAAUUGUGUUUCAGGACCUUUCUACCCAGGAGAGUGUGCAGGGCCAGAAAGUAAUAUUCCCCAGUUUUCCAAUAUGAAUAUGUUCUGUGAGAGGACAGGAAAUUAUGCAGGGCUGCCCUUCUCUUGAGGCGCUCCUUGUGUGAGCAGGACAUCUCUUUUUCAAUUGGUUACAGAGUAAACAGGUCGGUUUGGAUUGCAAAUAAUAACAAUUAAAAACAAAGGACUAUCAAAAUAAACAGCUGCUGCUACAGAGCACAAAUUAUGAUAUCUAGCUGGUGGUUCAAAUAAAGCUGCAGUACAAACCCUGGGCACACAUGGUGAUAGUCAUGUAACCACGUGAAGUCACUGGGGAUUCUGCCAGUCUCAGCAUUAAGGAGUGCAUGCAGACAGGACAUCGCUGCAUUCCAACCAGCACUGCCCCAGGAGGAACUGUGCUGUUCUGUGCUGAACAGGCAGGAGCUCAGAUCAAACCAAGACAUCCUGCAUUACCUGAAAGAAUUCCAGAGUGCUCGCCCUGGUUGUUCACAUGCAUCUGCUGGCACCUCAGGGGCUC